rnacentral:tRNA from 2 species
GCGCCCGUAGCUCAGCUGGAUAGAGUACCUGACUACGGAUCAGGGGGUCGGAGGUUCGAAUCCUUCCGGGCGCG